rnacentral:rRNA from 1 species
AUUGAACGCUGGCGGCAGGCCUAACACAUGCAAGUCGAGCGAGCGGCGGACGGGUGAGUAAUGUCUGGGACACUGCCUGAUGGGGGGGGAUAAAUAAUGGAACCGGUAGCUAAUACAGCAUACCAUCAGAUGACACCAUAUGGGAUUAGCUUGUAGGUGAGGUAACGGCUCCCCUAGGCGACGAUCCCUAGCUGGUCUGAGCUGAUGAUCAGCCACACUGGGACUGAGACACGGCCCAGACUCCUACGGGAGGCAGCAGUGGGGAAUAUUGCACAAUGGGCGCAAGCCUGAUACAGCCAUGCCGCGUGUAUGAAGAAGGCCUUCGGGUUGUAAAGUACUUUCAGUCGGGAGGCGUUACCGACAGAAGAAGCACCGGCUAACUCCGUGCCAGCAGCCGCGGUAAUUC